UUCCACUCUGUUUUCAGAGCUUCUCCUGUGGUUGCAGUUUCCCAAAAUAAUCAGCUCAAAAUAGAGAGGGGAGAGGAGAGAAAGAGAAGGAGAGUUAUCAUAAGGAAUUGGCUUAUGUGAUUGUGGAGGCCGAGAAGUCCCACCAUCUGCCAUCUGCAAGCUGGCAGCUGGGGAAAGCCAGGGGUAUCAUUCAAUCUGAGUCCAAAGGCCUGAGAACCAGGGGAGCUGAUGAUGUAAACUGCAGUCUGAGGGAAGGAGAGAGUGAUAUUCCAGCUCAAGUCAUCUGGCAGAAAAGAAGGACCAAAUUCAGGGCUGGGCGAGGUGGCUCACGCCUGUAAUCCCAGCACUUUAGGGGGCCGAGGCAAGUGGAUCACUUGAGCUCAGGAGUUUGAGACCAGCCUGGCCAAUAUGGUGAAACCCCAUCUCUACUAAAAAUACAAAAAUUAGCUGGGCAUGGUGGCAUGUGCCUGUAAUCCCAGCUAUUUGGGAGGCUGAGGCGGGAGAAUCGCUUGAACCUGGGAGGCAGAGGUUGCAGUGAGUUAAGAUCGCACCACUGCACUCCAGCCCGGGUGACAGAGUGAGACUCUGUCUCCAAAAAAAAAAGGCCAAAUUCUCCCUUCCUCUGCCUUAAAGCCCUCAACAGCCCAUUGAGGAGGGUGAUCCACUCAUAGACAGAAUUGGAAAUGACGUUUUGCCAAGUAUCUGGGAACCCCAUGACCCAGUCAAGAUGAAACAUAAAAUUAACCAUCACAAAUGCUAAUGAUCAGAUAUAAAACGGGAAGUGGGGUAGGGAGUACUUAGAGGUGGGGGGCAACAGUUGUCACUGCAAACAGGAUGGUCAGGGAACCUGGCCUGAGACAGUAACAUGUAGAUCUGAAGGAGAGAGUAGGGGGCUUGAGAAGGGAAGUAACUCACCCAUGACCCUCACCCUUAUCCACUAACUCCUAACUCUGUGUUCUCUCCCUGAUGAUAGCUGGUUGUUUUAUUUUCAUAAAGUCGUGAGAUGUUAGAGAUGGAAGUGACCACUGGGGAUGGCCAUAAGUUUCACUGAAGAUCCUAAGUCUAUUAAACAAAAAAUUGAAUUUUUGUGGCAACUCACAUUGAUAGUGGUGGCUUUCUGGAGCAUGGCAUAGAGCAAGAUCCAGAGGUUAGGUCUGGGUUCAGAGCAAAAAGUGACAUUUUCCCCAAGUUCAGCAGGAGGAUGGUCACAUUAGACAGUCGGUGGCCCAUUCCUCUUCUAGAGUGACCCUCCCAUUACACGAUGAGGACAUAGGCAGCUGGAGUGUAACAGACAGGAAGUGGCUGGAUUUUCAAAAUGGUCUUUAGCAUGAACACUUUUAUGCCUUCACUGUCUCCAUUAUUGACUAAAGGAAAGUAAAAGAAAUGGAGGAGGCCGGGCGCGGUGGCUCACACCUGUAAUCCCAGCACUUUGGGAGGCCAAGG
rnacentral:lncRNA from 1 species